rnacentral:rRNA from 1 species
CUUUGAUUAUGGCUCAGGAUGAACGCUAGCUACAGGCUUAACACAUGCAAGUCGAGGGGAAACGAUAUUGGAAGCUUGCUUCCGGUAGGCGUCGACCGGCGCACGGGUGAGUAACGCGUAUCCAACCUGCCCAUCACUUGGGGAUAACCUUGCGAAAGUAAGACUAAUACCCAAUGAUAUCUCUAGAAGACAUCUGAAGGAGAUUAAAGAUUUAUCGGUGAUGGAUGGGGAUGCGUCUGAUUAGCUUGUUGGCGGGGUAACGGCCCACCAAGGCGACGAUCAGUAGGGGUUCUGAGAGGAAGGUCCCCCACAUUGGAACUGAGACACGGUCCAAACUCCUACGGGAGGCAGCAGUGAGGAAUAUUGGUCAAUGGGCGAGAGCCUGAACCAGCCGAGUAGCGUGCAGGAUGACGGCCCUAUGGGUUGUAAACUGCUUUUAUAAGGGAAUAAAGUGAGAGUCGUGACUCUUUUUGCAUGUACCUUAUGAAUAAGGACCGGCUAAUUCCGUGCCAGCAGCCGCGGUAAUACGGAAGGUCCGGGCGUUAUCCGGAUUUAUUGGGUUUAAAGGGAGCGUAGGCCGGAGAUUAAGCGUGUUGUGAAAUGUAGAUGCUCAACAUCUGCACUGCAGCGCGAACUGGUUUCCUUGAGUACGCACAAAGUGGGCGGAAUUCGUGGUGUAGCGGUGAAAUGCUUAGAUAUCACGAAGAACUCCGAUUGCGAAGGCAGCUCACUGGAGCGCAACUGACGCUGAAGCUCGAAAGUGCGGGUAUCGAACAGGAUUAGAUACCCUGGUAGUCCGCACGGUAAACGAUGGAUGCCCGCUGUUGGUCUGAAUAGGUCAGCGGCCAAGCGAAAGCAUUAAGCAUCCCACCUGGGGAGUACGCCGGCAACGGUGCAACUCAAAUGAAUUGACGG